AUAGAGCUGUUUCCAGGAAGGAAGCAGUUUGAUCUGUUGCUCCAUCACCGCUGGACAUGAGGAGAAGAUGAUCUCCAGGAUCCUGCUGCUCAUCAUCAUCAACUCAUGUCUCUGUGCAGCAACAUUUGUAGUGAAUGUGACACAGAGCUCCUAUCAGGCAGAGGAGAACCACAACAUCACUCUGGAGUGGACCUUCACCACCAGACCCAACAGAACCUGGACACAACUGAUUAUCUUCUGCUGCU